rnacentral:misc_RNA from 1 species
CUCGAGUGUACACCAGUGGUCGACCUCUACGAUAUUUAUCGUUCGACGAAGUAAUUAACGGCAAAUUGGUGUAACUCGAGCAUAUUACGGUCUCGAGCGUCGUCGUGGUAAAGGUGUAACACACAACACACGUCGAUGGACAGAGAAGAAGAGAUAGGUAACGAAGAUUUUCAGUUGUGUUGAACUGGGCAAUGCUCGUAUUUUUUUCCAAUCGUGUGACAAUCGUGGAUAACGUCAAUAAGAAAAAUGGCAUCAGAACUCGGAAGUGGUCGUUUCAAAUCCACAUCGGACAUUCUAGAGGAACUGACGAUUCACGAGGAGAAAAUACAAGAAGAUUUUCACACGGAGAAUCGUUUCAGAACGUACACAUUCAAGGACCUUCGGGAGGAAAAGAGACACUUCACGAAGAACUCGGCUCGCGAACGGACAAAAUCGCAGAAUUUUCUGAAAAAAUGGAUCGCCUCGUUCGAACGGAAAAACGAGGCGUGCAAGGCGGAGGACGAGUUUUUCACGAAAUAUUAUAGAAGAAACGAUUAUUCGAAUCCGAACUCGGAUUAUUCGUUCGACGCGAGAUCGCAGGAUCCACGUGAAAGGAGAGAAACCCAUGGAAACUGUCAAUUGUCUCUCACACGGACGAACAAAAGAUUCUUCCAGAAUCACUACAGAUAUGAAUGGGUGUCUGAUAACAAGUUAAUCGUUUCGAAUAAUGAAAAAAUCAAACAAUUUUCGAUCGAGAAUGGCAAGAAUAAUAAUGAAGAACACCUGAAUACGAAAUCAGAGAUCCACGAGAGAACCCAUAGAUAUUCAAAUUGUACGCGAUCACACCGACUAAAUUCGCAAUAUAUAUUCAGUGUUAAUAGUGAUACAAAAACCAAGAAAUUUUCUAAGGUCUCUUCUCUCGAGUCGAAUCGACCUCGUGAUCAGUUGUACAACUGUGUCGACUUAGUUAAUUCGCGUCGUUUGAGAAACAGUACGAACGACCUCAACCGAGAUACGUUGGAGCGAAUAUUCACGAAUUCGAAGGAGGAAGACUCACAGAAAUUGAUGAACGAAAGUUCCAAAAAGAAACCCGGUCGGAAACGGUCGUUCAAGAAUAUCUUGGGUUCCAUGAUUAAAUGGAAGAGAUCGAACAAAAAAGAGAAACCUCGACAUUUCAUGUCCUGCGAUCAUCUGACGGAUGAGACAACAUUCGACACGAAGAACGUUAUAUCGAGAACUUCUUCUUUGUGGGGUGUCGUGUUGGAGGUUUGCGAAGAGGAAGCCUUAAUGCAGAUCGUAACAAUAUAGUUAUUAAAGUCAUAGACAUUGUUUUUUGUUACGCUCUGUAAGUGUAAAAAAUAUCGACGACUUUGAAAUCUCGGGAAAAAGUUACUUCCAAAAAAAGAAUCCUUUCCACCGUUACAUGCGCCCCUUGAAAUAGAGCAACUUUGUCCUAAGAAGUUUUUUCGUACAACAAUAAAUAACGCGGGUAUUCAGAGUGAAAAACAGAAGGCAACGAUUCGCCCUGUCUACAGAGGGAAAAGAAACGAGC